rnacentral:rRNA from 1 species
UACAGAGGUCCCGAGCGUUGUUCGGAUUCACUGGGCGUAAAGGGUGCGUAGGUGGCAUGGUAAGUUUGAUGUGAAAGCUCAGGGCUCAACCCCUGAAAUGGCAUUGAAUACUACUGUGCUGGAGGUUUGGAGGGGGGACUGGAAUUCUUGGUGUAGCAGUGAAAUGCGUAGAUAUCGGGAGGAACACCAGCGGCGAAGGCGGCACUCUGGGCUGGAACUGACGCUGAGGAGCGAAAGCGUGGGGAGCGAACAGG